AGCGAACGCUGGCGGCGUGCUUAACACAUGCAAGUCGUGCGAGAAAGCUCCUUCGGGAGUGAGUAGAGCGGCGGACGGGUGAGUAAUGCGUGAAUAACCUGCCCACAGGACUGGGAUAACUUCGGGAAACUGGAGCUAAUACCGGAUAAGACCACGAUCUCUACGGAUUUCGGGGUAAAAGGUGGCUGCUUGCGGCUAUCACCUAUGGAGGGGUUCACGUUCCAUCAGGUUGUUGGUGAGGUAAAGGCUCACCAAGCCUAAGACGGAUAGUUGGCCUUAGCGGGUGGCCAACCACACGGGGACUGAGACACGGCCCCGACUCCUACGGGAGGCAGCAGUGAGGAAUAUUGGGCAAUGGGCGCAAGCCUGACCCAGCGACGUCGCGUGGGGGACGAAGGCCCUCGGGUCGUAAACCCUUGUCAUAGGGGAAGAUGGGUAUAUGUGCUAAUACCACAUAUACUUGACGGUACCCUAAGAGGAAGCCCCGGCUAACUCCGUG
rnacentral:rRNA from 1 species